rnacentral:rRNA from 1 species
GAUAGGGGGCAGGCCCAAUACAUAGAAAGUCGGACGGGAUUCAGCAGCUUGCUGUUGAUGAGAGUGGCGCACGGGUGCGUAACGCGUGAGCAACCUGCCCAUUUCAGGGGGAUAGCCCGGAGAAAUCCGGAUUAAGACCGCAUAUGAUCACGUUACCGCAUGGUAGAGUGAUGAAAUAUUCAUAGGAAAUGGAUGGGCUCGCGUGACAUUAGCUAGUUGGUAGGGUAACGGCCUACCAAGGCGACGAUGUCUAGGGGCUCUGAGAGGAGAAUCCCCCACACUGGUACUGAGACACGGACCAGACUCCUACGGGAGGCAGCAGUAAGGAAUAUUGGUCAAUGGGGGGAACCCUGAACCAGCCAUGCCGCGUGCAGGAAGACGGCCCUACGGGUUGUAAACUGCUUUUGCACGGGAAUAACCCUCAUUAUGUAUAAUGAGCUGAAUGUACCGUGAGAAUAAGAUCGGCUAACUCCGUGCCAGCAGCCGCGGUAAUACGGAGGAUCCGAGCGUUAUCCGGAAUUAUUGGGUUUAAAGGGUGCGCAGGCGGGGAUCUAAGUCAGGGGUGAAAGACGGUGGCUCAACCAUCGCAGUGCCUUUGAUACUGGAUUCCUUGAAUAUACCUGAGGUAGGCGGAAUGUGGCAAGUAGCGGUGAAAUGCAUAGAUAUGCCACAGAACACCGAUUGCGAAGGCAGCUUACCAAAGUAUGAUUGACGCUGAGGCACGAAAGCGUGGGGAUCGAACAGGAUUAGAUACCCUGGUAGUCCACGCCCUAAACGAUGAACACUCGAUGUCGGCGAUAGACAGUCGGCGUCCAAGCGAAAGCGUUAAGUGUUCCACCUGGGGAGUACGCCCGCAAGGGUGAAACUCAAAGGAAUUGACGGGGGCCCGCACAAGCGGAGGAGCAUGUGGUUUAAUUCGAUGAUACGCGAGGAACCUUACCCGGGCUUGAAAGUUACUGAAGAUAGCAGAGAUGUUAUCGUCCUUCGGGACAGGAAACUAGGUGCUGCAUGGCUGUCGUCAGCUCGUGCCGUGAGGUGUUGGGUUAAGUCCCGCAACGAGCGCAACCCCUGUGGAUAGUUGCCAGCACAUAAUGGUGGGGACUCUAUCCAGACUGCCUGUGCAAACAGAGAGGAAGGCGGGGACGACGUCAAGUCAUCAUGGCCCUUACGUCCGGGGCUACACACGUGCUACAAUGGGCGGUACAGAGGGCAGCCAACCUGCAAAGGUGCGCCAAUCCCUUAAAGCCGUUCACAGUUCGGAUCGGGGUCUGCAACUCGACCCCGUGAAGCUGGAUUCGCUAGUAAUCGCGUAUCAGCAAUGACGCGGUGAAUACGUUCCCGGGCCUUGUACACACCGCCCGUCAAGCCAUGAAAGUUGGGGGUACCUAAAGCAUGUGACCGCAAGUAGCUUGUUAGGGGUAAAACCCCAAAC